rnacentral:rRNA from 1 species
AUGGCUUCUGCCGAAACCCUAGCCCGCUCCCCAUCUCGCGAGCCCUCGUCCGACCCGCCCCGCGAUGCCUCGCGCGACGCCUCCUCCGAGCCCCACCACAACGGCUCAGCCAACGCCGCUGGCGACGGCGACUCGUCCUCCCGCCGCCGCCGCCGCAGCCGAUGGGAGCAGUCCAACGACGAAUCCGGUGCCAAUUCAGGCGGCGAGGGCGGCGCGGGAGGACGGAAGCGGAAGUCGCGCUGGGCCGAGGAGGAGCCCCGCCCGACCAUCGCACUUCCGGAUUUCAUGAAGGACUUCGCCGCCGAGAUGGAUCCCGAGGUGCACAACCUCAACUCGCGCCUCCUAGAGAUUUCGCGCCUGCUGCAGUCGGGGCUCCCCCUCGACGACCGUCCUGAGGGCGCGCGCUCGCCGUCCCCUGAGCCAAUAUACGAUAACCUGGGCAUCCGCAUCAACACCCGCGAAUACCGGGCGAGGGAGCGCCUUAACCGCGAGCGGCAGGAGAUCAUCUCCCAGCUGAUCCGCCGCAAUCCCGCCUUCAAGCCCCCGGCUGAUUACCGCCCACCCAAGCUCCAUAAGAAGCUCUACAUCCCCAUGAAGGAGUACCCUGGGUACAACUUUAUCGGGCUCAUUAUUGGGCCCCGUGGCAACACACAGAAGCGGAUGGAGAAGGAGACGGGGGCCAAGAUCGUAAUCCGAGGGAAGGGCAGCGUCAAGGAAGGGAAGUUGUUGCAGAAGAGGGACUUGAAGCCAGAUCCCAGUGAGAAUGAGGAUCUUCAUGUGCUUGUUGAGGCUGAUACCCAAGAAGCGUUGGAGGCUGCUGCAGGCAUGGUGGAGAAGCUGCUUACCCCUGUGGACGAAGUGCUAAAUGAGCACAAACGGCAGCAGCUGCGGGAGCUUGCAGCCCUGAACGGAACAAUCAGGGACGAUGAGUUUUGUAGGACUUGCGGGGAGCCGGGUCACCGACAGUAUGCAUGCCCGAACAGGACAACAACGUUUAAGAGCGAGGUGCAGUGUAAGAUCUGUGGCGAUGGUGGCCACCCGACAAUUGAUUGUCCAGUGAAGGGCACAUCUGGGAAGAAAAUGGACGAUGAGUACCAGAACUUCCUUGCUGAGCUUGGUGGGAGUGCACCUGAGUCCAUGAACAAGUCUGGUGGUCCGAUGCUGGCUAUAACAGGUGGUAGUGGUGGUGGCGGCGGCGGCAGUGGUAGCAACUCACCCUGGGCUGGGGGUAAUGGUGCAGCAACAACAGGAGCCAACGGGCUCAAGAAGGAUUAUGACGAGACCAAUCUUUAUAUUGGGUACUUGCCACCUAUGUUUGAUGAUUCAGGGCUGAUCAACCUAUUUUCACAAUUUGGGGAGAUUGUUAUGGCAAAGGUUAUAAAGGAUCGCAACACAGGGCAGAGUAAAGGGUAUGGAUUUGUGAAAUAUUCAGAUGUCUCACAGGCUAAUGCAGCUAUUGCUGCAAUGAGUGGUUACCAUCUUGAAGGGAGAACUAUUGCAGUCCGAGUUGCAGGCAAGCCACCACAGCCAGCUGCCCCCCCUGGUCCUCCAGCAGCGCCAGCACCACAGAUGUACCACUCUGCAGAUCCUUCUGCUGGUGGCUACAACUCGCAGCCCUACAUGGGAGGACAUCCACCACCACCAGCUCCUCCAGGUAGCUAUGCUCCAGUUCCUUGGGGACAACCACCACCUUAUGCUUCGUACCCUCCGCCGCCACCACCAGGCAUGUACAAUCCUGCACCUGGCCAAACUGCUCCACAUUCAUAUGGUAUGCAAUACCCACCACCACCAGCUCCAGUACCUCCACCAGGCACUACGUCAAAUGAUGGUGCACAGAACUACCCUCCGGGUGUAACACCACCAAGUUCUGGUGCACCUACCCAGCCUGUCCCUGCUCCAGCAUAUGGGACCUCUGGUGCGCAAAACAUGCCACAUAUGUACCCUCCACCACCUUAUGGUUAUGCCCCAUAUUAUCCAUCUGUCACACCAGUCCAGCCGCCUCCACCACCACCACCACCAGCUAGUGUUGAUCCUUCACAAAGCAUUGCAACUGCACCUUGGGCCACUCACAACGCACCUCCUCCACCGCCACCGCCGGCUAGUGUUGAUUCCUCGCAGAGCGUUGCAACGGCACCUUGGGCUACCCACAAUGCACCGCCGCCACCACCUUUGCCAUCCUCCAACGACCAGCCCACUCCUCCCUAUGGUGCUGAUGCAGAGUAUGAUAAAUUUAUGUCGGAGAUGAAGUGA